UAAUACAGAGGGUGCAAGCGUUAAUCGGAUUUACUGGGCGUAAAGCGUGCGUAGGCGGUUCAGUAUGUCGGUCGUGAAAUCCCCGGGCUCAACCUGGGAACUGCGGCCGAAACUGCUGGGCUUGAGUGUGGUAGAGGGCGGUGGAAUUCCGGGUGUAGCGGUGAAAUGCGUAGAGAUCCGGAGGAACAUCAAUGGCGAAGGCAGCCGCCUGGGCCACAACUGACGCUGAGGUACGAAAGCGUGGGGAGCAAACAGGAUUAGAUACCCUGGUAGUCCACGCUGUAAACGAUGAGAACUAGACGUUGGCCAGCUUGGUCUGGUCGGUGUCGUAGCUAACGCGAUAAGUUCUCCGCCUGGGGAGUACGGCCGCAAGGUU
rnacentral:rRNA from 1 species